GUGAAGAAUAUUAGCAAAGGCACCGAGAAGGAAUAAUCGUGGCCUGUUUAUCAAACGGGACUAUGCAUCAUUUCCCUGGCUAUAUUGAUUUUAAAAAGCAAGAAGAAAUUUACUGGCAGAUCUGAUCACCCUUCUGAGGGAGCAAUCAAGUAAGACAGCAUGUAGCCCCUGGAGACUGCUAGAAAUCAUCAUGUGGCCCUAAGGAGGGCCAGCCUAACAAUGAAGCAGAAAGAGGGGUGGUGAGAUUACUGAACUUUUGAGUCAAGUCACAUCCAAAGCCCAUGUGACCUCUGAUCUUUUCAGAUAAAUGAGUUAUUAAAUAUUUUAUUUAAACCAGUG